rnacentral:rRNA from 1 species
AUGUGCUUGUUGGCAUUUUUAAGGUUGAUGGCUGACGUGACGUGUAUGAUUUUACUUUUUAGUGAAAUACAUUUUAUAUACAUUGGCGUUUGUCCUAGUCCAAUACGUAGGUACUACGCCUUCAACUAUAAGCCGUCCAUUACAAAAUCAAGAUUUCGAGAACCUGAUGUGUUUGUUGGCAUUUUAAGGCUGAUGGCUGGCGUGACGUGUUUGAUUUUACUUUUUAGUGAAAUACACCUUAUAUAUAGGGGCUUUUGUCCUGAUCUAAUACGUAGGUACUACGCCUUCAACUAUAAGCCGUCCAUUAUAAAAUCAAGGUUUCGAGAACCUGGUGUGCUUGUUGGCAUUUUAAGGCUGAUGGCUGGCAUGACAUGUUUGAUUUUACUUUUUAGUGAAAUACACUUUAUAUACACCGGCUUUUGUCCUAGUCUAAUAUGUAGGUACUAUGCCUUCAAUUAUAAACCGUCCAUUACAAAAUCAAGGUUUCGAGAACCUGAUGUGCUUGUUGGUAUUUUAAGACUGAUGGCUGGCGUGACGUGUUUGAUUUUACUUUUUAGUGAAAUACAAUUUAUAUACACCGGCUUUUGUCCUAGUCUAAUACGAAGGUACUACGCCUUCAACUAUAAGCCGUCUAUUACAAAAUCAAGGUUCCAAGAACCUGGUGUGCUUGUUGGCAUUUUAAGGCUGAUGGCUGGCGUGACAUGUUUGAUCUUACUUUUUAGUGAAAUACAUUUUAUAUAUACUGGCUUUUGUCCUAAUCUAAUACGUAGGUACUAUGCCUUCAACUAUAAGCCGUCCAUUACAAAAUCAAGGUUUUAA